rnacentral:rRNA from 1 species
GGGCGUAAAGGGUCUGUAGGAGGUUUGUUAAAUACGGGGUGAAAUCCGGGAGCUCAACUCCCGAACUGCCCUGUAGACUGACAGACUGGAGUACCGGAGAGGUAAGCGGAAUACCAAGUGUAGCGGUGGAAUGCGUAGAUAUUUGGUAGAACACCAAGAGCGAAGGCAGCUUACUGGCCGGCAACUGACUCUGAAAGACGAAAGCAUGGGGAGCAAACAGGAUUAGAUACCCUGGUAGUCCAUGCCGUAAACGUUGUCAACUUGAUGUGGGUGGAUUUAGUCCUAUCCGUAUCGAAGCCAACGCGAUAAGUUGACCGCCUGGGGACUACGGCCGCAAGGCUAAAACUCAAAGGAAUUGACGGGGGCCCGCACAAGCGGUGGAGCAUGUGGCUUAAUUCGAGGCAACGCGAAGAACCUUACCUGGGCUUGAAAUAUACCGGACAGUUUGUGAAAGCAGAUCUUCCUUCGGGACUGGUAUACAGGUGCUGCAUGGCUGUCGUCAGCUCGUGCCGUGAGGUGUUCGGUUAAGUCCGGCAACGAGCGCAACCCGUGUCAUUAGUUGCCAACAGGUAAAGCUGGGGACUCUAAUGAGACUGCCUGUGUUAAGCAGGAGGAAGGCGCGGAUGACGUCAAGUCAGUAUGGCCCUUACGCCCAGGGCUGCACACGUGCUACAAUGGCCGGCACAAUGAGAAGCGAAGUCGCGAGGCGGAGCAAAUCUACAAAACCGGUCUUAGUUCAGAUUGCAGUCUGCAACUCGACU